rnacentral:misc_RNA from 1 species
GUGCCGCACGGGGCUAGAACUCCCAUCCCGUGACACUAGCCAUUAAGCAAUCCCCCUCAUCCCCCCCUCUUUUCUCUAUUUUUGCCAAAAAAAGAAGUGUCAACUACCCGAAAAUUCACCCAUUUGAAACUACAAUCAUGUCAUCAAAUGUCCUCCUCUAUUAUGUCACUCCUUUUAUUUUUUGAAACACGUCAAGUAAAGUACACAAAAACCUUAAAAAGCCAAAAAAAAAUAGGUCACCAUUCUUAGAAUGACCCUGCUGCUAUUGUCAAGCUUGAACAUGGUCCUACUCAGGGAUUCUCAUCUCUCUGAUUUGCGCCUAUGCUCAUCUCUUUCUCUACGACGACUGGAGGAAGAAUCCCUAACAUGGGCAGACGAUUUGGCUCCUCUCUUAUCUUGGUCUUCCCUAAGAUAGGAUUCUGAUUCAUGCCUCUUAAAUCUCUUUUCCUCCCUCCGAUCAUCAUUGUCUCUUGACCUUGGCUCCAAUCCAUCACCAUUAUUAUGCCUUCUCAAUCCCCUUUCAUCCCUCUUAUAAUCUUCUCCUCUUUGAACGUCUUCAUGCCUUCUCAACCUCUUUUCAUCGCUCCUAUGAUAAUCAUCUCUAGACUUUGGCUCAAAUUCCUCAUCUCCAUGCCUUCUCGAUCUCUUUUCAUCUCUCCUAUCAUAGUCUUCGCUUGAUUUUGGCUCAAAUUCAUUGUCUUCUUGUCUUCUCCAUCUCUUUCCAUCUCUUCUAUGAUAAUCUUCUUUUGACUUCCGCUCCAUUUCAUUAUCAUCAUGCCUUCUUGAACUCUUGUCCUCCCUCCUAUCACUCUGUUUAGGGAGGCUCUCUGAAGGUCUCUCAUUGCCAGAUCUUUUCUCACUCUUUUUUGGAGCAUCAAACUUGUCAUGUCCCCAUCUUGGACUUUUAUCCUCAGGACCCCAUCCUGUGUUUGCAGCUCUUUGCUCAUCAUGGGAAAAUUUGCAGCUAGCUCCACGAGUGCAUUCACCUCUUUGGAAAGCACGGCAUACUCCUCGAGCCUCUCUCUUCUGCUGUUGUGUCUCUUCAUCCUCCUCCUCCUCUUUCUUCUUGUAGUUACUAACAUGAUCAACCCUUACAAUUCGACCAGCGACCUCGGCUCCAUUCAGAUUAUUGGGCAAAAACAGCGAGGAGGUCGCCUUCGGUGAUAUCGAAAGGAAUGCCGCCAACAAAAACAUAAGCAGAAUCUUUGUAUUUGGUGUGCCAGGAAGCGUUCUCUGCUAUCCCUAACUCUGCUUCUUUGGAGUUUAUGUUCUGAAUUCGCUUCACCAGCGUCAACGGAUUCAUCUUCUCCCCGCUCUCUCGCCGCUUCAAACUUAUUUUCAUUUUUUGUGCAUAAAAAAAAUUGUUUUACAUAAAAUAUUUAAAAAUUAAUUAAUAUAAUAUGAAAACAAAUAGAAGGCUGUAAUAAUUGAUACUGCCUCGGACUGAGCCUGUAGGCAAUUGAUGAAUGUUAGGCAUGUAUAUUUGGAAGUCGCGUAGGAGACCUUUGGCAUCUGUUAACUUUCUUGGUGAUUCAAUAUACCCAUCUUUGUUUGUCUGCUUUUAGCAUGCUAAGAAACCCAAGAUUGUAUGCAAAUCUUCUUAAUAGCUAAAGUUAAACAUUACCUGAAAGUCUUGACACUUUAUCCUGCAUUCAUGAUCUGAAAUUAAUCCUGAAAUCUGGAUACAGAGACUCUGCCAGAGGUACAGAUUUCAUUGAGGCCAAGAGGACCACAAAAGAUAUGAGCCUAUCUGAGUUUCAAGUCGAAAUGCUCCUGCUUGCAUCACAGCUUAAUGGCGAUUAUGUCUUAAAUACUUACCUAGAUAUAGGCAAAAGCAUGACAGUG